GCCACCAAUCUUCUUCUCUCACACGCCAUCAUCAUUUAAAACGUAUAAUAAAGCAGCCCAUUUUUCAAGAGGAAAUAAAACACACUCACUUCCUCUCACUCAAUUCCAUUUUCCAGGAAAAAGCAAUUUCUAUUUCUGUAUCCGUUGGAAUAGAAUGAUGGAUCUGUGGGCAGUCCAUGUAAAGAAUACAACUGGAAGCCCUUUUUGUUUGAGAAAUCAUUCAAUUCCAGAGAGAUCAUUUGUUUCCUCCAAUUUUGGGAAAUUUAGGGUUUUGAAGCAUAACAUUUCUUCUUCCGGGUAUCAUUCUUUGGGAGUUAAAGCUAUGGCUAAGAGGAAUAGUAAUGAUAACUCCAAUUCCUCUUCUUCUUCUCCUUCUGGAAAUGGAGAUGGCUCAAAAGGAAGUAACCAUCCUGAUGGGAACAAAUCCAAUGACUAUGCUUCCCAAAAGUCUCACAGGGUAAACUUGGACUGGAGAGAGUUUAGAGCAAAUUUAUUUGCUCAGGAGCAGGAAGAGAAGGCAGAAUCUGAUGCUCACAGCCAAACUGGGACACCCCAAGAGUCGAAACCCCUUGGCCUGAAAUGGGCCCACCCUAUUCCUGUACCUGAGACUGGUUGUGUCCUUGUUGCUACAGAAAAACUUGACGGAGUUCGCACUUUUGAAAGAACUGUUGUUCUCCUCCUCAGAUCUGGAACCAGACAUCCACAAGAGGGACCAUUUGGAGUUGUCGUUAACCGUCCACUGAACAAAAAGAUUAGGCAGAUGAAGCCCACAAAUAUGGAAUUAGAAACCACUUUUGCUGAUUGUUCUCUUCAUUUUGGUGGACCUCUUGAUGCAAGCAUGUUUUUAUUAAAAAGUCGGGAGAAGAAGAUUAAAGAGUUCGAAGAGGUGAUCCCUGGCCUGUGUUUUGGUGCUGGAAAUAGUUUGGAUGAAGCUGGAGCACUUGUGAGAAAAGGGGUGCUGAAGCCUCAGGAUUUCAGAUUCUUUGUCGGUUAUGCUGGGUGGCAGCUAGAUCGGUUGAGGGAGGAGAUUGAAUCAGAUUAUUGGUAUGUGGCUGCAUGUAGCUCAAAUCUGAUUUGUGGGGGUUCAUCAGAAAGUUUAUGGGAGGAGAUUUUGCAGCUAAUGGGUGGUCAUUACUCGGAACUAAGCCGAAAGCCCAAGCAGGAUAUGUAGGUAAUUAUGAGCUAUCGGUGUUCCUGAAAUCAAGAAGCCGUUCCUGAAGCUAAAGCCAGAUAUGUAAUUAAGGACAAAGAAGCUUCCCACUUGAGAGUGGUUCUGCAGGGUGAGGAGAAAGGCACCACGAGGAUGCGACGGAGUAAUUGUUUUGAGAAU